UACGGGGGGAGCAAGCGUUGUUCGGAUUUACUGGGCGUAAAGGGCGCGUAGGCGGUCAGCACAAGUCAAUUGUGAAAUCUCCGAGCUUAACUCGGAAAGGUCAACUGAAACUGUGCGACUAGAGUGCGGAAGGGGCAACUGGAAUUCUUGGUGUAGCGGUGAAAUGCGUAGAUAUCGAGAGGAACACCUGCGGCGAAGGCGGGUUGCUGGGCUGACACUGACGCUGAAGCGCGAAAGCUAGGGGAGCGAACGGG
rnacentral:rRNA from 1 species